rnacentral:rRNA from 1 species
GAUGAACGCUGGCGGCGUGCCUAAUACAUGCAAGUCGAGCGAACAGACGAGGAGCUUGCUCCUCUGACGUUAGCGGCGGACGGGUGAGUAACACGUGGAUAACCUACCUAUAAGACUGGGAUAACUUCGGGAAACCGGAGCUAAUACCGGAUAACAUGUUGAACCGCAUGGUUCAACAGUGAAAGACGGUCUUGCUGUCGCUUAUAGAUGGAUCCGCGCCGCAUUAGCUAGUUGGUAAGGUAACGGCUUACCAAGGCAACGAUGCGUAGCCGACCUGAGAGGGUGAUCGGCCACACUGGAACUGAGACACGGUCCAGACUCCUACGGGAGGCAGCAGUAGGGAAUCUUCCGCAAUGGGCGAAAGCCUGACGGAGCAACGCCGCGUGAGUGAAGAAGGUCUUCGGAUCGUAAAACUCUGUUAUUAGGGAAGAACAAAUGUGUAAGUAACUAUGCCCGUCUUGACGGUACCUAAUCAGAAAGCCACGGCUAACUACGUG